UUACGGCUAUAUCACGUUGAAACACAGGUUCCUGUAUGAUCGCCGAAGUUAAACAACGUCGCUCCUGGUCAUUACCUAGGUGGGUGACCGCUUGGGAAUACCAGGUGCUGUAAG